AAAGAUUUAGUUUAUAAAAACAUUAACUUGUCAAGUUAAAAUUACUUAAUUAGUAAUCUUUU
rnacentral:tRNA from 1 species